rnacentral:rRNA from 1 species
AGUGAACGCUGGCGGUAGGCCUAACACAUGCAAGCCGAACGGCAGCACAGUAAGAGCUUGCUCUUACGGGUGGCGAGUGGCGGACGGGUGAGGAAUACAUCGGAAUCUACUUUUUCGUGGGGGAUAACGUAGGGAAACUUACGCUAAUACCGCAUACGCCCUACGGGUGAAAGCAGGGGAUCUUCGGACCUUGCGCGAUUGAAUGAGCCGAUGUCGGAUUAGCUAGUUGGCGGGGUAAAGGCCCACCAAGGCGACGAUCCGUAGCUGGUCUGAGAGGAUGAUCAGCCACACUGGAACUGAGACACGGUCCAGACUCCUACGGGAGGCAGCAGUGGGGAAUAUUGGACAAUGGGCGCAAGCCUGAUCCAGCCAUACCGCGUGGGUGAAGAAGGCCUUCGGGUUGUAAAGCCCUUUUGUUGGGAAAGAAAAGCAGCAGGUUAAUACCCCGCUGUUCUGACGGUACCCAAAGAAUAAGCACCGGCUAACUUCGUG